UACGUAGGGUGCAAGCGUUGUCCGGAAUUAUUGGGCGUAAAGAGCUCGUAGGCGGUCUGUCGCGUCGGCUGUGAAAACCCGUGGCUCAACCACGGGCCUGCAGUCGAUACGGGCAGACUAGAGUGCGGUAGGGGAGACUGGAAUUCCCGGUGUAGUGGUGAAAUGCGUAGAUAUCGGGAGGAACACCAGUGGCGAAGGCGACUACCUGGCCUGUUCUUGACGCUGAGGCGCGAAAGCUAGGGGAGCAAACGGG
rnacentral:rRNA from 1 species